GUGCCAGCCGCCGCGGUAAUACCGGCAGCCCGAGUGAUGGCCGAUCUUAUUGGGCCUAAAGCGUCCGUAGCUGGCUGCGCAAGUCCGUCGGGAAAUCCACCCGCCCAACGGGUGGGCGUCCGGUGGAAACUGCGUGGCUUGGGACCGGAGGACCCGAGGGGUACGUCCGGGGUAGGAGUGAAAUCCUGUAAUCCUGGACGGACCGCCGGUGGCGAAAGCGCCUCGGGAAGACGGACCCGACAGUGAGGGACGAAAGCUGGGAUCUCGAACCGGAUUAGAUACCCGGGUAGUCC
rnacentral:rRNA from 1 species